GACGAACGCUGGCGGCGUGCCUAAUACAUGCAAGUCGAGCGGACCACUUCGGUGGUCAGCGGCGGACGGGUGAGUAACACGUGGGCAACCUGCCUGUAAGACUGGGAUAACACCGGGAAACCGGUGCUAAUACCGGAUAAUCCUUUCCUUCACAUGAGGGAAAGCUGAAAGACGGUUUCGGCUGUCACUUACAGAUGGGCCCGCGGCGCAGUAGCUAGUUGGUGAGGUAACGGCUCACCAAGGCAACGAUGCGUAGCCGACCUGAGAGGGUGAUCGGCCACACUGGGACUGAGACACGGCCCAGACUCCUACGGGAGGCAGCAGUAGGGAAUCUUCCGCAAUGGACGAAAGUCUGACGGAGCAACGCCGCGUGAGCGAUGAAGGCCUUCGGGUCGUAAAGCUCUGUUGUCAGGGAAGAACAAGUACCGGAGUAACUGCCGGUACCUUGACGGUACCUGACCAGAAAGCCACGGCUAACUACGUGCCAGCAGCCGCCGCAGUAA
rnacentral:rRNA from 1 species